AGUGAACGCUGGCGGUAGGCCUAACACAUGCAAGUCGAACGGCAGCACAGUAAGAGCUUGCUCUUACGGGUGGCGAGUGGCGGACGGGUGAGGAAUACAUCGGAAUCUACUUUUUCGUGGGGGAUAACGUAGGGAAACUUACGCUAAUACCGCAUACGACCUACGGGUGAAAGCAGGGGAUCUUCGGACCUUGCGCGAUUGAAUGAGCCGAUGUCGGAUUAGCUAGUUAGCGGGGUAAAGGCCCACCAAGGCGACGAUCCGUAGCUGGUCUGAGAGGAUGAUCAGCCACACUGGAACUGAGACACGGUCCAGACUCCUACGGGAGGCAGCAGUGGGGAAUAUUGGACAAUGGGCGCAAGCCUGAUCCAGCCAUACCGCGUGGGUGAAGAAGGCCUUCGGGUUGUAAAGCCCUUUUGUUGGGAAAGAAAAGCAGCAGGUUAAUACCCCGCUGUUCUGACGGUACCCAAAGAAUGAGCACCGGCUAACUUCGUG
rnacentral:rRNA from 1 species